rnacentral:rRNA from 1 species
ACAGAGGGAGGCGGACGCGCGAGCGCGAGCGGACCCCAAAAACGGCCCCCCAGUUCGGACUGCAGCCUGCAACCCGGCUGCACGAAGCCGGAAUCGCUAGUAAUCGCGGAUCAGAACGCCGCGGUGAAUACGUUCCCGGGUCUUGUACACACCGCCCGUCACACCAUGGGAGCCUGGAAUGCCCGAAGCCGGUGGCCGAACCGAGAGGGCGGAGCCGCCUAAGGCAGGCCCGGUGACUGGGGUGAAGUCGUAACAAGGUAUC